AAAGGAAUAGACGGGGACCCGCACAAGCAGCGGAGCAUGUGGUUUAAUUCGAAGCAACGCGAAGAACCUUACCUGGACUUGACAUCCCUGUGACCACCUCUUAACCGAGGUCUUCCCUUCGGGGACACAGGAGACAGGUGGUGCAUGGUUGUCGUCAGCUCGUGUCGUGAGAUGUUGGGUUAAGUCCCGCAACGAGCGCAACCCUUGUCGUUAGUUGCCAUCAGGUAAAGCUGGGCACUCUAGCGAGACUGCCAAGGUAAACUUGGAGGAAGGUGGGGAUGACGUCAAAUCAUCAUGCCCCUUAUGUUCAGGGCUACACACGUGCUACAAUGGCCGAUACAACGGGCAGCCAAGGAGUAAUCUGGAGCAAAUCCUAAAAAAUCGGUCCCAGUUCGGAUUGUGGGCUGCAACUCGCCCACAUGAAGUCGGAGUUGCUAGUAAUCGCGAAUCAGAAUGUCGCGGUGAAUGCGUUCCCGGGUCUUGUACACACCGCCCGU
rnacentral:rRNA from 1 species